GUUGAUGGCCAUUACCACCCUGACUGUGGUGGAGCUCAUCUGAUCUCAGAAGCUAAGCAGGUCCGGCCUGCUUGUAAUGGGGUGAGAGAAAGCACAAGUGACUCACCC
rnacentral:rRNA from 1 species